rnacentral:rRNA from 1 species
GAUGAACGCUGGCGGCGUGCUUAACACAUGCAAGUCGAACGAAGCACUCUAUUUGAUUUUCUUCGGAAAUGAAGAUUUUGUGACUGAGUGGCGGACGGGUGAGUAACGCGUGGGUAACCUGCCUCAUACAGGGGGAUAACAGUUGGAAACGACUGCUAAUACCGCAUAAGCGCACAGGAUUGCAUGAUCCGGUGUGAAAAACUCCGGUGGUAUGAGAUGGACCCGCGUCUGAUUAGCCAGUUGGCAGGGUAACGGCCUACCAAAGCGACGAUCAGUAGCCGACCUGAGAGGGUGACCGGCCACAUUGGGACUGAGACACGGCCCAAACUCCUACGGGAGGCAGCAGUGGGGAAUAUUGCACAAUGGGGGAAACCCUGAUGCAGCGACGCCGCGUGAGCGAAGAAGUAUUUCGGUAUGUAAAGCUCUAUCAGCAGGGAAGAAGAAUGACGGUACCUGACUAAGAAGCAC